UACGGAGGGUGCGAGCGUUGUUCGGAAUCACUGGGCGUAAAGGGCGUGUAGGCGGUCCGCUAAGUCUGAUGUGAAAGCCCGGGGCUCACCCCCGGAAGGGCAUUGGAAACUGGCGGACUCGAGUCCCGGAGAGGAAGGUGGAAUUCCUGGUGUAGCGGUGAAAUGCGUAGAUAUCAGGAGGAAUACCGGUGGCGAAGGCGGCCUUCUGGACGGUGACUGACGCUGAGACUCGAAAGCGUGGGGAGCAAACAGG
rnacentral:rRNA from 1 species